CACCGGCGGCUCGAGUUGUGGCCACUUUUAUUGGGUCUAAAGCGUCCGUAGCCGGCUUGGCAAGUCCCCUGGGAAAUCUGGCGGCUUAACCGUCAGGCGUCCAGAGGAUACUGCCAGGCUUGGGACCGGGAGAGGUGAGAGGUACCUCAGGGGUAGGGGUGAAAUCUUGUGAUCCCUGAGGGACCACCAGUGGCGAAGGCGUCUCACUAGAACGGGUCCGACGGUCAGGGACGAAAGCUGGGGGCACGAACCGG
rnacentral:rRNA from 1 species